CAAAAACAUCGCCUUUUGAAUUAUAUAAAAGGUAACGCCUGCCCAGUGACAUCAUGUUCAACGGCCGCGGUAUUCUGACCGUGCGAAGGUAGCGUAAUCACUUGUCUUUUAAAUAAAGACUAGUAUGAAUGGCACCACGAGGAUUUAGCUGUCUCCUUAAACUCAUCAGUGAAACUGAUCUCCCCGUGCAAAAGCGGGGAUAAAUACAUAAGACGAGAAGACCCUAUGGAGCUUAAAACUAAUAGCCGCCUAUGCUUUCUGCUAAAAUAAAUAGCACUAUAACAAUAGGUCCGGCCUACGUUUUCAGUUGGGGUGACUAUGGAGAAAAACCCAUCCUCCAUGAAGAAACAAGCCUUGAGUUACUACUCUACGCAUUAGCAAGCCUGACUUUACUUGAUCCAAUCUAUUUGAUCAACGGACCAAGUUACCCUAGGGAUAACAGCGCAAUCCAUUUCAAGAGUCCUUAUCGACAAAUGGGUUUACGACCUCGAUGUUGGAUUAGGACACCCUAGUGGUGCAGCCGCUACUAACGGUUCGUUUGUUCAACGAUUAAAGUCCUACGUGA
rnacentral:rRNA from 1 species